rnacentral:misc_RNA from 1 species
ACUGCACGCCGGGAGCGUGAAGAAAGACGCAAGCGUUUGAGGAAUGAACGUUCAGAUGACAGACCUGUGCAUGUGUCUCAGCAGUCAAUACAUGAUCAGUACUAUUCAAUCAAACAAUAUAAAACUUACGAUAAAACUAAGCUCCCUCCUGGCUGGUUAGAUUGCCCUUCAGUUGGUCAGGAAAUCUUUGGUAUUAUUCCCUCUAAGGUUCCACUUGGUGAAGCCUAUAAUGACUGUGUUCCUCCUGGAAAAAGAUACUCUUUUAAACAAGUGUUUCAUCAACAAAGAGUAUUAGCAAGAAGACUUGGUUUGGUGAUUGAUUUGACAAAUACUACCCGUUACUAUUCACCAAAAGAUUUGGAAAAAGAGGGUAUUAAGUAUGUUAAGAUUCAAUGUAAAGGGCGUGAUUCUGUACCUGAUAAUGCAUCUGUAAAUAACUUUGUUUAUGAGGUUACGCAGUUUAUCGCUCGUCAAAAAUCUAAGAAGCAUAUUCUCGUUCAUUGUACGCAUGGGCAUAAUCGCACAGG